GUGAUAGCAAACGAACGCGAAGUGAAGAGGGGUAGAGUGAGGUUAUGUGCUCCGUCUGCAACGAGAUUGAAUAAAUCUGAAGAGAGUUGAGAACACUGUGAAAUUCCGAGAAUUCGAAAAUGCGCUGUCGUACAUUUUUAAGGAAUAAACAACUAGGAAUUGGAGAGAGAAGAUACCACUCAGACGCGGAGACUGUAAACUGAACACGAGUUUCCCGAAUGCAUAGCACCCGGAUCACGUGAUUAGUCCUCAAGUUCUGCUCCCGCCCUUUCAGUACUUUCUGGAGUUCUGCUAUCUCAGGAUUAUACGGUUGCUGAACUGUAUGAUGAUAUGGAAUGAACAGUUGAAAAAUUUGGUGAAUGGAUGCCGUUCCAGCAUUUGUCUCAAGGGACUGAAGAAAUCCAAGAAAAAUCUUGGUUAGUAUUAUGGCUAGAUUCAAAACCUAUGAUCUCCCAAAUAUG